rnacentral:rRNA from 1 species
GACGAACGCUGGCGGCGUGCUUAACACAUGCAAGUCAAACGGAAAGGCCCUGCUUUUGUGGGGUGCUCGAGUGGCGAACGGGUGAGUAACACGUGAGUAACCUGCCCUUGACUUUGGGAUAACUUCAGGAAACUGGGGCUAAUACCGGAUAGGAGCUCCUGCUGCAUGGUGGGGGUUGGAAAGUUUCGGCGGUUGGGGAUGGACUCGCGGCUUAUCAGCUUGUUUGUUGGGUAGUGGCUUACCAAGGCUUUGACGGGUAGCCGGCCUGAGAGGGUGACCGGCGACAUUGGGACUGAGAUACGGCCCAGACUCCUACGGGAGGCAGCAGUGGGGAAUAUUGCACAAUGGGCGGAAGCCUGAUGCAGCAACGCCGCGUGCGGGAUGACGGCCUUCGGGUUGUAAACCGCUUUCGCCUGUGACGAAGCGUGAGUGACGGUAAUGGGUAAAGAAGCACCGGCUAACUACGUG